rnacentral:rRNA from 1 species
AGAUUGAACGCUGGCGGCCGGCCUAACACAUGCAAGUCGAGCGGUAGAGAGGUGCUUGCACCUCUUGAGAGCGGCGGACGGGUGAGUAAUGCCUAGGAAUCUGCCUAGUGGUGGGGGAUAACGUUCGGAAACGGACGCUAAUACCGCAUACGUCCUACGGGAGAAAGCGGGGGACCUUCGGGCCUCGCGCCAUUAGAUGAGCCUAGGUCGGAUUAGCUAGUUGGUGAGGUAAUGGCUCACCAAGGCGACGAUCCGUAACUGGUCUGAGAGGAUGAUCAGUCACACUGGAACUGAGACACGGUCCAGACUCCUACGGGAGCAGCAGUGGGAAUAUUGGACAAUGAGCGAAAGCCUGAUCCAGCCAUGCCGCGUGUGUGAAGAAGGUCUUCGGAUUGUAAAGCACUUUAAGUGGAGAGGUUGUAACUUAAGUACGUUGCAAUUUGACGUUACCGACAGAAUAGCACCGGCUAACUUCGCGCUAGCAGCCG